GAAAACGAAAGUAAUUUUAAUGUGCGUCGGUUGAUAAAAAACAAAAGCCACAGUUUUGUUUUAAAACAAACUGAAAAGAAAGACGUUACUCGUUGCAGCAUCAUGAUGAAAAUGAAAAGAAAUAAAGAAAAAUCAGAGAACAAUUGAAGGUCUUUCCACAUCAAUUUUCAAAGUUAUUGAAAAGAAAAUGACGGACAGUAAAUUAUGUGCUGGUUGUCAGCGUGGUGAUGAAGAUAUAAAAGCCAUAUCAUGGUGCAGUGAUUGCAGUGAACCUGUAUGUAAGGCGUGUUCCAGAGUUCACGACAGAUUGGUCCCGCCUCACAAGGUAGUACUGUUCCAAUGCAAGAGAUUCAACACCUCAGUUCUUCAAUCCUUACAUUGUCCAAGAACUGCCAGAAUCAUCCAGAUCAAGCGAUUUCACUGUACUUCUGUCAACAUGACAAGGUAGUCUGCGUUUCAUGUGUUCCGGUAUCACAUCAGAAUUGCAAGCCUCUAAUUUCAAUUAAAAAAGCUGCUCGAGGCGUGAAAAAUGGCAGCGCUAUUUAUGAUCUAGAAAGAAGGAUUUAAAACUUAUGUCAAGUUACAGAGAACAUACGGAGUCAAAGUGAGACAACACUUGUAGAUUUGAAAAAAAAAUCGAAAUUAAAAUCAAGAAAAGGGUCUCGGAAAUCAAGAAAAAAGUAAUUGCUCAUUUAGAUACGUUAGAAACAGAGAUACAUAAAGACAUUGAUUCUAAGUAUAAAACAUGUACUGCGAUGGCGUUCCAAAACAAAAAAUAGCAUCAAAUCCAGAUCAGAGUCGCUGUUUACAUGGAAAAGUGAUCUAAGAUCACUGAAACAACAUAUAUCAGAAAUCCAUUUAUUCAGAGUGGUAAAAUUUCUAGAUGCAAAAACUCACCGGAAAAAAAUGGAAAUCAGAGAAAUCCAAACAGCUAAUGUUCCGAUACUUAAAUAUCAUCCAUCAGAAUCUGAGUCGAACAUUCAGAAAUUAGUCCAAGAUUAGGUACAAUAACGAUAGAAAAUGCUGAAGUCCAAAUGUCUGUACUAGAUAUCGACCAACAAGGUCAAUUUCUCGUUAGGAACGACACAUUCAUUCCAGACCACGAAAUUAGAUAAUGAAGUGAGUAUCUAUAGAGGUUGCUUUAUUGCUGUUGGUGAUGCAGGUAUCUAGGUCAUCGACCUGAUAUCAUUGACGCCUGGUACGAGAAUUGAUGUUGAAGGAUUCUGUAGUGGAAUCACAUUUGUUAAGGACAAGAUCUAGGUAGGAAAUCAAGAUCACACUAUAACUAUUAUAGAUAUCAAUGGUGAAGUUCUAAAUAUAAAACAAACAACAUUUUGUCCUUAUAAAAUCUGUGCCAAUCAGGACGGUGAUGUCUAUUGUACAGACAACAAUAGUAAUAACGUAUACGUUGUUACAUAGGAUGGAAAAGAACGUGAGAUAUACAACAGUUCUGGCCUGAAUGCUGCUAUUGGUGUAGCUGUAGAUGACCGUGGUGAUGUGUACGUAGCAGGAUAUGAAUCAAACAACAUACAUAGAAUAUCUGAUGAUGGAAAGACACAUGGCAUUGUCUUGACAGCAGAAGAUGGUAUCAAUGAACCGACCUGUUUAUCUUACAACAAUGAAACAAAAGAACUGUUAGUCUUAAAUGACUAUUCAAAAUCUAUCAAUAUCUAUAAAACACAAUAAACACCGGUUUAGGAACACUGACUCGUAGCAUCGAUAAUAAGCCCAAAAGAUAAAACAAAAGUUUAUAUCUUAGUGAAAAAUAAAUUAAUAACCGGGUUUUCAAAUAUUGCUUUAAACUUUUUAUCAGAUUUACCUUUUACUGACAAACUGAACCAUACGGAAAGUAAUCCAAUAACUAUUCAAAUCUGAAGUGUAAUGAAUGUGACAACGUUUUUUCUUAAAUACGAAGAAUUAAAAAAUCUAGAAAAAAUUUAUUGAUGGACUAGUUGUAAGUAAUUUUCAAACUUGCACACUGAGCAAAAGAAGAGCAUGAGGAUGGGUUUGCAUAUUUCGGUCACACAUUCUAUAUCAGUUCAUGACAGAUCAAAAUUGUGUGUCAGUAAGUUUAUUACAAAACCAAUUAUUAAAGAAAAACUUUAUCUGAA